UUGCUCCUUGGGUGGCGAGUGGCGGACGGGUGAGGAAUACAUCGGAAUCUGCCUAUUUGUGGGGGAUAACGUAGGGAAACUUACGCUAAUACCGCAUACGACCUACGGGUGAAAGCGGAGGACCUUCGGGCUUCGCGCAGAUAGAUGAGCCGAUGUCGGAUUAGCUAGUUGGCGGGGUAAAGGCCCACCAAGGCGACGAUCCGUAGCUGGUCUGAGAGGAUGAUCAGCCACACUGGAACUGAGACACGGUCCAGACUCCUACGGGAGGCAGCAGUGGGGAAUAUUGGACAAUGGGCGCAAGCCUGAUCCAGCCAUGCCGCGUGGGUGAAGAAGGCCUUCGGGUUGUAAAGCCCUUUUGUUGGGAAAGAAAAGCAGCCGGUUAAUACCCGGUUGUUCUGACGGUACCCAAAGAAUAAGCACCGGCUAACUUCGUGCCAGCAGCCGCGGUAAUACGAAGGGUGCAAGCGUUACUCGGAAUUACUGGGCGUAAAGCGUGCGUAGGUGGUUUGUUAAGUCUGAUGUGAAAGCCCUGGGCUCAACCUGGGAAUUGCAUUGGAUACUGGCAGGCUAGAGUGCGGUAGAGGGUAGUGGAAUUCCCGGUGUAGCAGUGAAAUGCGUAGAGAUCGGGAGGAACAUCCGUGGCGAAGGCGACUACCUGGACCAGCACUGACACUGAGGCACG
rnacentral:rRNA from 2 species